rnacentral:rRNA from 1 species
UACGAAGGGGGCUAGCGUUGCUCGGAAUCACUGGGCGUAAAGCGCACGUAGGCGGACUCUUAAGUCAGGGGUGAAAUCCCGGAGCUCAACUCCGGAACUGCCUUUGAUACUGGCGAUCUUGAGAUCGGAAGAGGUGAGUGGAAUUCCCAGUGUAGAGGUGAAAUUCGUAGAUAUUGGGAAGAACACCAGUGGCGAAGGCGGCUCACUGGUCCGAUACUGACGCUGAGGUGCGAAAGCGUGGGGAGCAAACAGG